rnacentral:miRNA from 1 species
ACGGUUUGAAUGUUGUCCAACA